GUUAAGUAUCGCGCGAUUAAGACUGAGAGGAGGAGGAGGCCUAGGAGAGGCAUCCAGCUUCGGCAGAGCAACCUUCUGAUGUAACCAAUCCAGAUGAUCUGAGAGGAGGAGCAGGCCUAGGAAAGGCAUCUUGCACCAGCGGAACAACCUGAUGACAACAUAGCUUCAAUAUCAAUUCCGCUGUUGCGCAUCAGUGCCGGUAAGUGACAACUUUUUAUUUUGAAGCAAAGGAUUUGUAAAUGCAUGAAGAAAUCCGUUGCUUCUAACUCUUGAUUGGCGGGACAAUAUGUGUAAAAAUUAAA